rnacentral:rRNA from 1 species
AUUGAACGCUGGCGGCAUGCUUUACACAUGCAAGUCGAACGGCAGCGCGGGCUUCGGCCUGGCGGCGAGUGGCGAACGGGUGAGUAAUGCAUCGGAACGUGCCCAGUAGUGGGGGAUAGCCCGGCGAAAGCCGGCUUAAUACCGCAUACGACCUGAGGGUGAAAGCGGGGGACCGAAAGGCCUCGCGCUAUUGGAGCGGCCGAUGUCGGAUUAGCUAGUUGGUGGGGUAAAGGCUUACCAAGGCGACGAUCCGUAGCUGGUCUGAGAGGCCGACCAGCCACACUGGGACUGAGACACGGCCCAGACUCCUACGGGAGGCAGCAGUGGGGAAUUUUGGACAAUGGGGGCAACCCUGAUCCAGCCAUGCCGCGGGCGGGAAGAAGGCCUUCGGGUUGUAAACCGCUUUUGUUCGGGAAGAAAUCCUCUGGGCUAAUACCCCGGGGGGAUGACGGUACCGGAAGAAUAAGCACCGGCUAACUACGUG